rnacentral:misc_RNA from 1 species
AAGUCGUAACAAGGUUUCCGUAGGUGAACCUGCGGAAGGAUCAUUAUUGAAUUUUAGUACUAAGUACUAUAGCACCAUUUUUGUCCCAACUUGUUAUGGAUGAUAUCAUCUGAAAUUGACUGAAAACUGUUGAUAUUAAUAAAAUACAACUUUCAACAACGGAUCUCUUGGCUCUCAU